CUUCGAUAAGAAUAUAUAUAAAUGACACGUCUCGUCUAAGGCCUUAUCUUGCAGUUAUUCUGAACUAGCAUAUGUUUGGAUGUCGCACCUACCUCAUCCGGGUCUGACCACAGUAAAUCACAAACAAGGCCAUGAUCAGGAACGUCGAUUGGACGGGAUAAAAGAUGGCAGCACCAACCUGUUCCAGAUGUAGUAAAUCCGGUGAGAGGCCACCAUGCAUACAGAAUAUCGUACCCUCUACUAAGGCAGCUAAAAAAUUAGUCAGAAAUAUCAGUCAUAAAAAUAUAAUAGCUGUAAAUAGCUUUAAACACGAACUUCAAGUUUUCACAGUCAGAUAUUUUAACUUCGUACUUUGUCCUGAUGUCAAUUAAAGAACCGAAGCCAAUAUAUGUAUAUAUCUAAAUCAAAAAAUAUUCAUAAUAAUAUGAAAUAAAUAUAUAUAUAUUUCAUUAUCAGUCUUUGUCAUCACCAUUAACUCAUAUGACUGGUAAUUAAAAAUAAUUUUGGUUUUGUAGUCUCAUUAUGAACGUUUUUUAUUUGUAUUAAUUUCAUUAUUGUUACGUUGUGCUGAGUUGUUCGCCUAUUUACAAUUAAGGUAUGAUAUAGAAUUAGUUAAUUCAACGGUGUUAUGUAUAGAAAUAAUCGUAUUAUUCUUAGAAAUUAAAGGUGGAAUAGACGUUAUAAAAUAGACUUGUUCCAGCAUUUGGAAACUUAGUACAAACACACAAAUGAAUAAAUAGGACACCACAUUUUGUUUUAAACUGAGGUUGUACACUUUAU